rnacentral:rRNA from 1 species
GGCGCACGGUGAAUGCCUAGGCACUAACAGCCGAAGAAGGACGUGACGAACUACGAAAAGCUUCGGGGAGCGGUAAGUACGCAGUGAUCCGGAGAUAUCCGAAUGGGGGAACCCAAUGCAGAGAUGCAUUAUUGAUUAGUGAAUAGAUAGCUAAUCAAAGGAAGACGCAGUGAACUGAAACAUCUAAGUAGCUGCAGGAAGAGAAAGAAAGAUCGAUUUCCUUAGUAGCGGCGAGCGAAGAGGAAAGAGCCCAAACCAAGUGAUUUAUCAUUUGGGGUUGUAGGACUGCGACGUGGCAGUGUAAGAGAUAGUUGAAUUAUCUGGGAAGGUAAGCCAGAGAGGGUGAGAGCCCCGUAAGCGAAAUCUCAAGCACGCCUAGCAGAAUCCUGAGUAGGCCGGGACACGAGGAAUCCCGGUUGAAACCGCGAGGACCAUCUCGCAAGGCUAAAUACUAGUUAGUGACCGAUAGUGAACCAGUACCGUGAGGGAAAGGUGAAAAGAACCCCGGAAGGGGAGUGAAAUAGAACAUGAAACCGUAAGCUUACAAGCAGUAGAAGGACGACUAAUCGUUUGACUUCGUGCAUGUUGAAGAAUGAGCCGGCGACUUAUAGGCAGUGGCAGGUUAAGAUAGAGAAUAUUAAAGCCAUAGUGAAAGCGAGCCUUAAUAGGGCGUAAGUCACUGUUUAUAGACCCGAACCCGGAUGAUCUAGCCAUGGCCAGGGUGAAGCUUAGGUAACACUAAGUGGAGGUCCGAACCGACUGAUGUUGAAAAAUCAGCGGACGAGCUGUGGCUAGGGGUGAAAUGCCAAUCGAAUCCGGAGCUAGCUGGUUCUCCCCGAAAUGCGUUUUGGCGCAGCGGUUGGUGCUUAAGCUUAGGGGUAAAGCACUGUUUCGGUGCGGGCUGUGAGAACGGUACCAAAUCGAGGCAAACUCUGAAUACUAAGUGUGUAGCCAACCAGUGAGACAGUGGGGGAUAAGCUUCAUUGUCAAAAGGGAAACAGCCCAGACCACCAGCUAAGGCCCCUAAAUAAUUGCUAAGUGAUAAAGGAAGUGGAAAUGUUUAGACAACCAGGAGGUUUGCUUAGAAGCAGCAAUCCUUUAAAGAGUGCGUAAUAGCUCACUGGUCUAAUGAUUCUGCGCCGAAAAUGAACGGGGCUAAGCAAUUUGCCGAAGCUGUGGGAUGUUAUUACAUCGGUAGGGGAGCGUUCUGUUAUAGAUUGAAGCACUAGCGUAAGCGGGUGUGGACUAAGCAGAAGUGAGAAUGUCGGCUUGAGUAGCGAAAACAUUGGUGAGAAUCCAAUGCCCCGAAAACCUAAGGGUUCCUUUGCAAGGUUCGUCCACGAAGGGUGAGUCAGGUCCUAAGGCGAGGCUGAAAAGCGUAGUCGAUGGGUAACAGGUUAAUAUUCCUGUACUAUUUUUUAUUGGUAACGAGGGACGGAGAAGGCUAAAUCAGCCGGAUGUUGGUUACUGGUUUAAAUUUUUGAAGGUGAUGAAAGAUGGCGAAAACAUCUUGAGCUAAAAAAUGAAUACAAGCCACUAAGGUGGUAAAGUGAUUGAUGUCAUACUUCCUAGAAAAGCUCGAAAUAUCUUAAAUAAAAAAUACCUGUACCCUAAACUGACACAAGUAGGUAAGUAGAGUAUACUAAGGGGCGCGAGAUAACUCUCUCUAAGGAACUCGGCAAAAUAGCCCCGUAACUUCGGAAGAAGGGGUGCCCUUGUAGGGCUGCAAUAAAUAGACCCAAGCGACUGUUUAUCAAAAACACAGGUCUCCGCUAAGUCGCAAGACAAUGUAUGGGGGCUGACGCCUGCCCAGUGCCGGAAGGUUAAGGAAGCUGGUUAGUCAUUGGCAAAGCUAGUAACUGAAGCCCCGGUGAACGGCGGCCGUAACAAUAACGGUCCUAAGGUAGCGAAAUUCCUUGUCGGGUAAGUUCCGACCUGCACGAAAGGUGUAAUGAUUUGGGCACUGUCUCAACGAGAGACUCGGUGAAAUUAUAAUACCCGUGAAGAUGCGGGUUACCCGCGACAGGACGGAAAGACCCCAUGGAGCUUCACUGUAGCUUGAUAUUGAGUAUCUUUUAAACAUGUACAGGAUAGGUAGGAGCCAGAGAAGAUAGGACGCUAGUCUUAUUGGAGGCAAUGUUGGGAUACUACCCUUGUUUGAAGGAUGCUCUAACCUCGACCUGUAAGCCAGGCCAGGGACAGUGUCAGGUGGGCAGUUUGACUGGGGCGGUCGCCUCCUAAAGUGUAACGGAGGCGCUCAAAGGUUCCCUCAGAAUGGUUGGAAAUCAUUCGCAGAGUGUAAAGGUAUAAGGGAGCUUGACUGCGAGAGAGACAACUCGAGCAGGUAGGAAACUAGGACUUAGUGAUCUGGUGGUACCGUAUGGAAGGGCCAUCACUCAACGGAUAAAAGGUACUCUGGGGAUAACAGGCUUAUCUCGCCCAAGAGUUCAUAUCGACGGGGGUGUUUGGCACCUCGAUGUCGGCUCAUCUCAUCCUGGGGCGGUAGUACGUCCCAAGGGUUGGGCUGUUCGCCCAUGAAAGCGGUACGCGAGCUGGGUUCAGAACGUCGUGAGACAGUUCGGUCCCUAUCCGUCGUGGGCGUAGGAAAUUUGAGAGGAGCUGUCCUUAGUACGAGAGGACCGGGAUGGACGCACCGCUGGUGUACCAGUUGUUCCGCCAGGAGCAUCGCUGGGUAGCUAUGUGCGGAAGGGAUAAGCGCUGAAAGCAUCUAAGUGCGAAGCCCCCCUCAAGAUGAGAUUUCCUUUGC